GCCGCAGUAGCUCAGUGGUAGAGCGCGCCCUUGGUAAGGGCGAGGUCGGGUGUUCAAUCCACCCCUGCGGCACCA
rnacentral:tRNA from 1 species